rnacentral:rRNA from 1 species
AGUGGCGAAAGGGUGCGUAAUGCAUGGGUAACCUGCCCUCGGGACAGGUAUAACCCCCCGAAAGGGGGACUAAUACCUGAUGAGACCACGUGUCGCAUGGCACGCGUGUCAAAGGUGGGGAUCCUUCGGGACCUAUCGCCCGAGGAGGGGCUCAUGUCCUAUCAGCUAGUUGGUAGGGUAACGGCCUACCAAGGCUUCGACGGGUAGCCGGCCUGAGAGGGUGUACGGCCACACUGGGACUGAGACACUGCCCAGACUCCUACGGGAGGCUGCAGUCGCGAAUCUUCCGCAAUGGGCGAAAGCCUGACGGAGCGACGCCGCGUGGAGGAUGAAGGCCCUCGGGUUGUAAACUCCUGUCACAGGUUAGGAACAGCACAGGGCAUAAUACGCCUUGUGUCUGACAAAGGCCUGAGAGGAAGCUCCGGCUAACUCCGUGCCAGCAGCCGCGGUAAUACGGAGGGAGCGAGCGUUGUUCGGAAUCACUGGGCAUAAAGGGCGUGUAGGCGGCUGAGUAAGUCGGGUGUGAAAUCCCCUCGCUUACCGGGGGAAUUGCGCCCGAUACUGCUCGGCUAGAGUGCAGGAGGGGAGAGCGGAAUCCUGGUGGAGCGGUGAAAUGCUUAGAUAUCAGGAGGAACACCGAUGGCGAAGGCAGCUCUCUAGACUGUAACUGACGCUGAGGCGCGAAAGCCAGGGGAGCGAACGGGAUUAGAUACCCCGGUAGUCCUGGCCAUAAACGAUGGGCACUAUGUANGGGAGGGUCCGAACCCGCCUCUGCCGAAGCUAACGUGAUAAGUGCCCCGCCUGGGGAGUACGGCCGCAAGGUUGAAACUCAAAGGAAUUGACGGGGGCUCGCACAAGCGGUGGAGCAUGUUGCUUAAUUCGAUGCAAAGCGAAGAACCUUACCGGGGUUUGACAUGCACGGAUUAGCCUGCCGAAAGGUAGGUGACGCCCGAAAGGGUGGAACGUGCACAGGUGCUGCAUGGCUGUCGUCAGUUCGUGUCGUGAGAUGUUGGGUUAAGUCCCGUAACGAACGAAACCCUUGUCCUUAGUUGCUCGUGAGACAACUCAAAGCACUCUAAGGAGACUGCCACUGUAAGGUGGAGGAAGGUGGGGAUGACGUCAAGUCCUCAUGGCCUUUAUGCCCCGGGCUGCAAACAUGCUACAAUGGCCGGUACAAAGGGAAGCGAGACCGCGAGGUGGAGCAAAUCCCUAAAAGCCGGCCCCAGUUCGGAUCGGAGGCUGCAACUCGACUCCGUGAAGUCGGAAUCGCUAGUAAUCGCGGAUCAGCCACGCCGCGGUGAAUAUGUUCCCGAGCCUUGUACACACCGCCCGUCAAGCCACCCAAGCAGGGCGCACCCGAAAUCGCUGCCCCAACCCG